rnacentral:rRNA from 1 species
GGUUAAGCGACUAAGCGUACACGGUGGAUGCCCUGGCAGUCAGAGGCGAUGAAGGACGUGCUAAUCUGCGAUAAGCGUCGGUAAGGUGAUAUGAACCGUUAUAACCGGCGAUUUCCGAAUGGGGAAACCCAGUGUGAUUCGUCACACUAUCAUUAACUGAAUCCAUAGGUUAAUGAGGCGAACCGGGGGAACUGAAACAUCUAAGUACCCCGAGGAAAAGAAAUCAACCGAGAUUCCCCCAGUAGCGGCGAGCGAACGGGGAGCAGCCCAGAGCCUGAAUCAGUGUGUGUGUUAGUGGAAGCGUCUGGAAAGGCGCGCGAUACAGGGUGACAGCCCCGUACACAAAAAUGCACAUGCUGUGAGCUCGAUGAGUAGGGCGGGACACGUGGUAUCCUGUCUGAAUAUGGGGGGACCAUCCUCCAAGGCUAAAUACUCCUGACUGACCGAUAGUGAACCAGUACCGUGAGGGAAAGGCGAAAAGAACCCCGGCGAGGGGAGUGAAAAAGAACCUGAAACCGUGUACGUACAAGCAGUGGGAGCACGCUUAGGCGUGUGACUGCGUACCUUUUGUAUAAUGGGUCAGCGACUUAUAUUCUGUAGCAAGGUUAACCGAAUAGGGGAGCCGAAGGGAAACCGAGUCUUAACUGGGCGUUAAGUUGCAGGGUAUAGACCCGAAACCCGGUGAUCUAGCCAUGGGCAGGUUGAAGGUUGGGUAACACUAACUGGAGGACCGAACCGACUAAUGUUGAAAAAUUAGCGGAUGACUUGUGGCUGGGGGUGAAAGGCCAAUCAAACCGGGAGAUAGCUGGUUCUCCCCGAAAGCUAUUUAGGUAGCGCCUCGUGAAUUCAUCUCCGGGGGUAGAGCACUGUUUCGGCAAGGGGGUCAUCCCGACUUACCAACCCGAUGCAAACUGCGAAUACCGGAGAAUGUUAUCACGGGAGACACACGGCGGGUGCUAACGUCCGUCGUGAAGAGGGAAACAACCCAGACCGCCAGCUAAGGUCCCAAAGUCAUGGUUAAGUGGGAAACGAUGUGGGAAGGCCCAGACAGCCAGGAUGUUGGCUUAGAAGCAGCCAUCAUUUAAAGAAAGCGUAAUAGCUCACUGGUCGAGUCGGCCUGCGCGGAAGAUGUAACGGGGCUAAACCAUGCACCGAAGCUGCGGCAGCGACGCUUAUGCGUUGUUGGGUAGGGGAGCGUUCUGUAAGCCUGCGAAGGUGUGCUGUGAGGCAUGCUGGAGGUAUCAGAAGUGCGAAUGCUGACAUAAGUAACGAUAAAGCGGGUGAAAAGCCCGCUCGCCGGAAGACCAAGGGUUCCUGUCCAACGUUAAUCGGGGCAGGGUGAGUCGACCCCUAAGGCGAGGCCGAAAGGCGUAGUCGAUGGGAAACAGGUUAAUAUUCCUGUACUUGGUGUUACUGCGAAGGGGGGACGGAGAAGGCUAUGUUGGCCGGGCGACGGUUGUCCCGGUUUAAGCGUGUAGGCUGGUUUUCCAGGCAAAUCCGGAAAACUAAGGCUGAGGCGUGAUGACGAGGCACUACGGUGCUGAAGCAACAAAUGCCCUGCUUCCAGGAAAAGCCUCUAAGCAUCAGGUAACAUCAAAUCGUACCCCAAACCGACACAGG